ensembl:rRNA 5S_rRNA 5S ribosomal RNA
GCUUACGGCCAUACCAGCCUGAAUACGCCCGAUCUCGUCUGAUCUCGGAAGCUAAGCAGGGUCGGGCCUGGUUAGUACUUGGAUGGGAGACCGCCUGGGAAUAACAGGUGCUGUAAGCU